CAAAAUGUGCCGACUGGAACAUGCUGUGCUCCAGCCACUACGGCUAGAGGCAGAAUGGGAGCCAGCAUUAUGUCCUGGCGCUGGUCUUGGUAUGUGGGACCUAGAAGACUUGUCAAGCCUGGGCCUCAUGGCCUAGCUAUGCCAGGAGGCAAAAAAAGGAGACCUGAAAGGCAUCCCUUCUUGGACAAUGACUGCUCUGACAGUCCUAGAGAAACGCCUCCUUAAUACAGACAGUGAGACUCUUCAGAACGACUGUACAGGACAGUUUAAAUGAUACUUUACAUGACGGCUUCACUUUUAAGGAGAAUAAAGUGAUUCUUUCCCUUAAAUUCAGAAAGCACUGACUAUUUCUC